UAGGUAGUUUUAUGUUGUUGGG
rnacentral:miRNA from 4 species